rnacentral:rRNA from 1 species
UUCCGUAGGUGAACCUGCGGAAGGAUCAUUUACACGAAUGUCCAACAUUUAAAACCUGAAUCUAACGGUGAAGAUCUGCUGGAGCGCAAGCACUAGCAGGACUUCGCGGGUAGUGAUUCGCGUUUCCCUCUUGUCGGUGAGGCGUGGGUUGCUAUCACUUUUAAACCAUUUUUAUACCUUUUCUAGAAUUCUUAAUGCGAUUUCCAAGUGAAAUCUUCUAUAUCACAACUUUUAGCGAUGGAUGCCUCGGCUCGGGUAACGAUGAAGGACGCAGCAAAAUGCGAUAAGCGCCGUGAAUGGCAGAAUUCCGUGAAUCAAGAGAACGCUGAACGCAUACUGCACUUUCAGGUCACUCCUGAAAGUAUGUCUGUUUCAGGGCGAUAAUGCAUAAAUGCUCUCAAUACACGCAUCACGCAAUUGUGUGAGUGGUCUUGAGAAGCGUCGUUGUGUGUCAGUGCAUAGGUGUCUCCACCCACUGACGCAUCAAAUUGCAAUUUGAGUUAUCAGCAAGCUUUCGCUUGACGGUUUUUUAAAUCUCUAAGUGAAAGUUUGCGUUUGUGCUCGAAUUCGUUUUCAUUUUUUGCAGAUUAAUUUCUGCAAUUGUUGCUUUUCGCAUGAAAUUAGACAAGGCUACCCGCUGAAUUUAAGCAUAUCAA